GAUGAACGCUGGCGGCGUGCCUAAUACAUGCAAGUCGAGCGAACAGACGAGGAGCUUGCUCCUCUGACGUUAGCGGCGGACGGGUGUGUAACACGUGGAUACCCUACCUAUAAGACUGGGAUAACUUCGGGAAACCGGAGCUAAUACCGGAUAAUAUAUUGCACCGCAUGGUUCAAUAGUGAAAGUCGGUUUUGCUGUCACUUAUAGAUGGAUCCGCGCCGCAUUAGCUAGUGGGUAAGGUAACGGCUUAUCAAGGCAACGAGGCGUAGACGACCUGAGAGGGUGGUCGCCCACACGGGAACGGAGACACGGUCCAGACGCCUACGGGAGGGAGCAGUAGGGAAUCUUCCGCAAAGGGCGAAAGCUUGACGGAGCAACGCCGCGUGAGUGAUGAAGGUCUUCGGAGCGUAAAACUCUGUUAUUAGGGAAGAACAAAUGUGUAAGUAACUAUGCACGUCUUGACGGUACCUAAUCAGAAAGCCACGGCUAACUACGUG
rnacentral:rRNA from 1 species